GGCGCUAUAGCCAAGUGGUUACGGCGACAGAUUCGAAUCUCGUUCGUUAUCUGUUCCUCUUUGAGGGCGCAGGUUCAAAUCCUGCUGGCGUCG